rnacentral:rRNA from 1 species
AUUGGAGGGCAAGUCUGGUGCCAGCAGCCGCGGUAAUUCCAGCUCCAAUAGCGUAUAUUAAAGUUGUUGUGGUUAAAAAGCUCGUAGUAGAAGCUCGGGCUCCGGCCGACCGGUCCGCCUCACCGCGUGCACUGGUUCGGCCGGGCCUUCACCUUCUGCGGAACCGCAUCUCCUUCACUGGGGGUGUCGGGGAAACAGGACGUUUACUGUGAAAAAAUUAGAGUGCUCCAGGCAGGCCUAUGCUCGAAUAGAUUAGCAUGGAAUAAUGGAAUAGGACGUGUGGUCUUAUUUCGUUGGUUUCUAGGACCGCCGUAAUGAUUAAUAGGGACAGUCGGGGGCAUCAGUAUUCAAUCGUCAGAGGUGAAAUUCUUGGAUCGAUUGAAGACUAACUACUGCGAAAGCAUUUGCCAAGGAUGUUUUCAUUUAUCAGGAACGAAAGUUAGGGGAUCGAAGACGAUCAGAUACCGUCGUAGUCUUAACCAUAGACUAUGCCGACUAGGGAUCGG